UGAAUCCUACGGGAGGCAGCAGUGGGGAAUAUUGCACAAUGGGGGGAACCCUGAUGCAGCGACGCCGCGUGAGUGAAGAAGGUACAGCGUAUCGUAAACCUCUUUUGUCAGGGAACAAAGGCGGGGACUAGUCCCCGGAUGAGGGUACCUGAAGAAAAAGCAUCGGCUAACUCCGUGCCAGCAGCCGCGGUAAUACGGAGGAUGCGAGCGUUAUCCGGAUUUAUUGGGUUUAAAGGGUGCGCAGGCGGCCUGUUAAGUCAGCGGUAAAAUCCCGGGGCUCAACCCCGGCGAGCCGUUGAAACUGG
rnacentral:rRNA from 1 species